AGGGUUUGAUCCUGGCUCAGAACGAACGCUGGCGGCGUGGUUAAGACAUGCAAGUCGAACGGACCAUUAACUUAUUAGUGGUCAGUGUCGAAAGGGUGAGUAAUGGAUAGGUAACGUACCCCGGGCUCUGGGAUAGCCAGCCGAAAGGUUGGGUAAUACCGGAUAACAUCACCGGCCGACGGGUCGGUGCUCAAAGAUUUAUCGGCACGGGAGCGGCCUAUCUCCUAUCAGCUUGUUGGUGAGGUAACGGCCCACCAAGGCGAUGACGGGUAGCGGGACUGAGAGGUUGGCCCGCCACAUCGGGACUGAGACACUGCCCGGACCCCCACGGGGGGCUGCAGUAACGAAUCUUGGGCAAUGGGCGAAAGCCUGACCCAGCGACGCCGCGUGCGGGAGGAAGUCCUUCGGGAUGUAAACCGCUGUCAGACAAAGGAAAGUCCACUUCGGUGGAUUGAUCCGAGUCAGAGGAAGUCGCGGCUAACUCUGUGCCAGCAGCCGCGGUAAGACAGAGGUGGCAAGCGUUGUUCGGUAUCACUGGGCUUAAAGCGUGUGUAGGCGGAAGCGUAAGCAUUUUGUGAAAUCCCCCGGCUCAACCGGGGCAUUGCUUGAUGUACUGCGCUUCUUGAGGCAGGUAGGGGUGCGAGGAACUCUUGGUGGAGCGGUGGAAUGCGUAGAUAUCAAGAGGAACGCCGGUGGUGAAGACGUCGCACUAGGCCUGUCCUGACGCUGAGACACGAAAGCGUGGGGAGCAAACGGGAUUAGAUACCCCGGUAGUCCACGCCGUAAACGAUGUCUACUAGGUUGUGGGGGUUCUGACGCCUGCACAGCCGAAGCAAAAGUGUUAAGUAGACCGCCUGGGGAGUACGGUCGCAAGGCUAAAACUCAAAGGAAUUGACGGGGGCUCACACAAGCGGUGGAGCAUGUGGAUUAAUUCGAAAAACGCGCAGAACCUUACCUGGGUUUGACAUGCUUGGAUGCUUGCCUGGAAACAGGUGGAGCUACCCUUCGGGGUGAAACUUGCACAGGUGCUGCAUGGCUGUCGUCAGCUCGUGUCGUGAGAUGUCGGGUUAAGUCCCAUAACGAGCGAAACCCUUGCCGUUAGUUGCCAGCGGGUCAUGCCGGGGACUCUAACGGGACUGCCGGUGUUAAACCGGAGGAAGGUGGGAUGACGUCAAGUCAUCAUGGCCUUUAUGCCCAGGGCCUCACACGUGCUACAAUGGUCGAUACAAAGCGACGCGAAACCGUGAGGUAGAGCUAAUCGCAAAAAGUUGGCCCCAGUUCGGAUUGUAGGCUGGCAACUCGCCUACAUGAAGCCGGAAUCGCUAGUAAUCGCGGAUCAGCGAUGCCGCGGUGAAUGUGUUCCUGAGCCUUGUACACACCGCCCGUCAAGUGAUGGGAGUUGGGAGCACCCGAAGUCAGGUUGCUAACCCGCAAGGGAGGCGCCUGCCGACGGUGAGUCCGACGACUGGCACUAAGUCG
rnacentral:rRNA from 1 species